rnacentral:tRNA from 1 species
CCCUGGUGGUCCAGAUGGUACAGAAUCUGCCUGCCAUGCAGGAGACCCAGGUUCCAUUCCUGGGUCAGGAA